CAAUAGCGUAUAUUAAAGUUGUUGCGGUUAAAAAGCUCGUAGUUGGAUUUCUGCCGAGGACGACCGGUCCGCCCUCCGGGUGAGCAUCUGGCUCGGCCUAGGCAUCUUCUUGGGGAGCGUAUCUGCACUUCAUUGUGUGGUGCGGUAUCCAAGACUUUUACUUUGAGGAAAUUAGAGUGUUUCAAGCAGGCCCACGCCUUGAAUACAUUAGCAUGGAAUAAUAAGGUAGGACCUCGGUUCUAUUUUGUUGGUUUCUAGAAUUGAGGUAAUGAUUAAUAGGGAUAGUUGGGGGCAUUCGUAUUUAACUGUCAGAGGUGAAAUUCUUGGAUCGGCUAAAGACGGACAACUGCGAAAGCGUUUGCCCAGGAUGUUUUCAUUGA
rnacentral:rRNA from 1 species